rnacentral:sRNA from 1 species
UCCCUGCUGAGUAGUACUCCAUUGCGUAAAUGUACCACAUUUUCGCUAUCCACUCUUCAGUUGUGGGGCAUCUAGCCUGAAUAGAGGAGGACUGGUCUUCGGUCAAGGAUAUACAAGUAGCUGUGCUCCCCUGCUAGAACCUCCAAACAAGCUCUCAAGUGUCUUUGUAAAUUUUUAAGAUUAAAAAAAAAAGAGAAGAAAGUC